rnacentral:rRNA from 1 species
AGCGAACGCUGGCGGCAGGCCUAACACAUGCAAGUCGAACGAACUCUUCGGAGUUAGUGGCGGACGGGUGAGUAACACGUGGGAACGUGCCUUUAGGUUCGGCAUAACUCAGGGAAACUUGUGCUAAUACCGAAUGUGCCCUUCGGGGGAAAGAUUUAUCGCCUUUAGAGCGGCCCGCGUCUGAUUAGCUAGUUGGUGAGGUAAAGGCUCACCAAGGCGACGAUCAGUAGCUGGUCUGAGAGGAUGAUCAGCCACAUUGGGACUGAGACACGGCCCAAACUCCUACGGGAGGCAGCAGUGGGGAAUCUUGCGCAAUGGGCGAAAGCCUGACGCAGCCAUGCCGGGUGAAUGAUGAAGGUCUUAGGAUUGUAAAAUUCUUUCACCGGGGACGAUAAUGACGGUACCCGGAGAAGAAGCCCCGGCUAACUUCGUG